CUUGGCCAUGAUGACACACUUGCCCUCACUGAGAGAGCUGUCUCUAUAAUGAGAAACUACUUUGUACUCAAUUUUCACUGAGCCACA